rnacentral:rRNA from 1 species
AUGGCGAUGUGUUGCCACUCUUCCUGUAGCCUCAUAUGCAUCGUCUUCCUCCUCGUUUUUGUUGCUGUGGCAGCGGAGGGUGCAGGAUAUGUGCAGGCGCGGCAGCGGAAAUUACAGCAGGUGCCGGCACCACCGCCAGUGCCGCUGCCAAAUCCUAACCCGCAGCCUGACCCAUACCCACAACCUUUGCCUAUGCCAGACCCAAAUCCACAGCCAUUACCGCAGCCUUUACCGCAACCACUGCCAGGCCCAAACCCGCAGCCACAACCAUUACCUCAGCCUCUGCCGCGCCCAAACCUGCAGCCACAACCUCAGCCACAACCGUUGCCUGACGCAAACCCACAGCCACCGCCAUUACCACAACCUCUGCCACAACCACAACCGGGCCCAAACGCACAACCUCUACCACAACCACUGCCGGGCCCAAACCCACAGCCACUGCCUCAACCAGACAUCCAAGGCUCAUAUCCGCAGAUAAAGCGAUGCUACUUCAUGUAA